GCUCAACAGCAGGCCUCUGUAGUUCAGUUGGUUAGAGCGCUGCACCGGAAACGCAGGGCCAUAGGUUCAAUACCUACCAGAGGACCUUGUGCUGCAUUUUUCGCAGUCCUGGUUAGGUCUUAAAAUGCAUAUAUUCUCACUGGGAUUACAAACCCUAACAUCCUAAUAUUAAUUCCACCAAGUGAAGUGCUAUAAUCUAAGUUAUACUGUAACCGAUAAGUUAUUUCAUUCGUAACAAAGGGUUAAAAUUGCAUGGGUUUGGCAAAAUGUAUACGCAAGUCAAACUGUUGCAAAUCUUGUGACUAAAUUUGUAUGUGUUCAUUUAUUAAGUUUGGAACCCUCCAGAUUUGCCACGAAUUUGCAUUUUAAACUAAGUUUGCAGGCCAACUUGUUGCAAACUUAGUACCAAAUUCGAUUUGAGUUCGCACUGAAAGUCGACUUCUUUCUACCAAUUUGUACUAAUGUAUACACGCAAGCACGUCGUGUAGAACAUUCUACUGCACUUAAUGUACGGUAACAGAUUGCAAUAACUAAAUGUUUUCCCAAAUUUUGGUCAUGGCUUUGCAGAUAUAAUUUUGAUUGCUAAGUUAUGCAGGUACAAAUGUAUACCAUUUUUGUUAAUUUGCAUACCCACAUGCACCCAAAAGUGAAAUAUAGCUACUGCUUUGCCCGUGUGCAAACUCAUUAGAAGAUUGCUAAAAUAUAUAGACUCAAACGAUCUGUUCUAGCGUAAGCUGGGGGUAAUAUAGACAUUUUUAGAACAUUCGACGUACGCGACGUCUCUAACACGGCGUAAAAAUAGUGUGGCAAGAAUAAUUGUAGUUUCGGUUGGAAUUGCGACAUCUUUGUUGAUUUUAGGACCUGAAAUUUUCACGUCCGCUAUAGAACGCCACAAAGAUUUAUGCUUCUUUCAAAAAUAUGAUAGCAUACUUCAUAAACAUAAUCAUAUUUUUCGUUCCCCUUGUAUUGUUUCAUGAUUCUAGUUUCGUAUUUUUUUAUUGACAAUUUAUUUUUUCUUGCAUUUCGCAAACUUUUUGACGUGUUCAUUUUCGACAAAUACUUUCGUCGCCGUUACAAAUAAAAAACCCCUGAAAGUAUUGCUAACACUACUUCAGUACCGGUAGUAUUCUUCACGAAAACGAACUUUUUAGAUUAAAUUAAAGUAUGGUUAAUAAUAAGUGUAGUUAAAAGCUGGAAAUUUGAAGAUUUGGAAUGAUAGAUUAACUAAAGCAGUUAGAACAGUAAAAUUUCCAUCAAUUGUAGUUCCAAUGUCACAAAUGUGCAAAAUAGUAGUUCAAGAUCUAUUCCGCGUGAAAAACUAUCGUAAACAGUAUAACAUUUUACAAAUGAAAACAAUGAUGCAGUAUUUAUAUACUGAAAAGCCGAAAACCUGAAUGAAUCUGGUACAAACUAGAGCAUUUAACUCGUAAGCACUACAUUCAGUUUUUGUACUUAUUCCGAAUGAUGCGAAAAAGUUUACUUUGUCAAGAUACCGAAAUAUAUGCAAAUUGAUCAGGAAAUACUUGGCCAGUAUGAUAUAUAUAUUUUUUUUGAACGUAUAUUGACAACUGAUUGAAAGCAAUACGGCAAUAAGCAGGCGAGAACGAUAAAAAAUUGCUUCGAAAGAGACAAACAUGAUGUCCCAGAUCAAACCGGAAGUAAACGUGAGGUGCAUACGUAACUUUUACGUCGUUGUAGAUGUCGCUUCGUGCUUUAAAACCUGUGCAAUGUAACACAAGAAUGCUGCAUAUUGAGAGAGUUUCAGCUAUGUUGAAAGAGUGACACUUGGAAUUACAAUGGCAGAAAACAACGUUUAAUUUAAUUUGUGUAUAAUCCGAAGUUCGUCUUGGCAAUUAAAAUCAC
rnacentral:lncRNA from 1 species